CAUAGGUUAAUGAGGCGAACCGGGGGAACUGAAACAUCUAAGUACCCCGAGGAAAAGAAAUCAACCGAGAUUCCCCCAGUAGCGGCGAGCGAACGGGGAGCAGCCCAGAGCCUGAAUCAGUGUGUGUGUUAGUGGAAGCGUCUGGAAAGGCGCGCGAUACAGGGUGACAGCCCCGUACACAAAAAUGCACAUGCUGUGAGCUCGAUGAGUAGGGCGGGACACGUGGUAUCCUGUCUGAAUAUGGGGGGACCAUCCUCCAAGGCUAAAUACUCCUGACUGACCGAUAGUGAACCAGUACCGUGAGGGAAAGGCGAAAAGAACCCCGGCGAGGGGAGUGAAAAAGAACCUGAAACCGUGUACGUACAAGCAGUGGGAGCACGCUUCGGCGUGUGACUGCGUACCUUUUGUAUAAUGGGUCAGCGACUUAUAUUCUGUAGCAAGGUUAACCGAAUAGGGGAGCCGAAGGGAAACCGAGUCUUAACUGGGCGUUAAGUUGCAGGGUAUAGACCCGAAACCCGGUGAUCUAGCCAUGGGCAGGUUGAAGGUUGGGUAACACUAACUGGAGGACCGAACCGACUAAUGUUGAAAAAUUAGCGGAUGACUUGUGGCUGGGGGUGAAAGGCCAAUCAAACCGGGAGAUAGCUGGUUCUCCCCGAAAGCUAUUUAGGUAGCGCCUCGUGAAUUCAUCUCCGGGGGUAGAGCACUGUUUCGGCAAGGGGGUCAUCCCGACUUACCAACCCGAUGCAAACUGCGAAUACCGGAGAAUGUUAUCACGGGAGACACACGGCGGGUGCUAACGUCCGUCGUGAAGAGGGAAACAACCCAGACCGCCAGCUAAGGUCCCAAAGUCAUGGUUAAGUGGGAAACGAUGUGGGAAGGCCCAGACAGCCAGGAUGUUGGCUUAGAAGCAGCCAUCAUUUAAAGAAAGCGUAAUAGCUCACUGGUCGAGUCGGCCUGCGCGGAAGAUGUAACGGGGCUAAACCAUGCACCGAAGCUGCGGCAGCGACGCUUAUGCGUUGUUGGGUAGGGGAGCGUUCUGUAAGCCUGUGAAGGUGUGCUGUGAGGCAUGCUGGAGGUAUCAGAAGUGCGAAUGCUGACAUAAGUAACGAUAAAGCGGGUGAAAAGCCCGCUCGCCGGAAGACCAAGGGUUCCUGUCCAACGUUAAUCGGGGCAGGGUGAGUCGACCCCUAAGGCGAGGCCGAAAGGCGUAGUCGAUGGGAAACAGGUUAAUAUUCCUGUACUUGGUGUUACUGCGAAGGGGGGACGGAGAAGGCUAUGUUGGCCGGGCGACGGUUGUCCCGGUUUAAGCGUGUAGGCUGGUUUUCCAGGCAAAUCCGGAAAAUCAAGGCUGAGGCGUGAUGACGAGGCACUACGGUGCUGAAGCAACAAAUGCCCUGCUUCCAGGAAAAGCCUCUAAGCAUCAGGUAACAUCAAAUCGUACCCCAAACCGACACAGGUGGUCAGGUAGAGAAUACCAAGGCGCUUGAGAGAACUCGGGUGAAGGAACUAGGCAAAAUGGUGCCGUAACUUCGGGAGAAGGCACGCUGAUAUGUAGGUGAGGUCCCUCGCGGAUGGAGCUGAAAUCAGUCGAAGAUACCAGCUGGCUGCAACUGUUUAUUAAAAACACAGCACUGUGCAAACACGAAAGUGGACGUAUACGGUGUGACGCCUGCCCGGUGCCGGAAGGUUAAUUGAUGGGGUUAGCGGUAACGCGAAGCUCUUGAUCGAAGCCCCGGUAAACGGCGGCCGUAACUAUAACGGUCCUAAGGUAGCGAAAUUCCUUGUCGGGUAAGUUCCGACCUGCACGAAUGGCGUAAUGAUGGCCAGGCUGUCUCCACCCGAGACUCAGUGAAAUUGAACUCGCUGUGAAGAUGCAGUGUACCCGCGGCAAGACGGAAAGACCCCGUGAACCUUUACUAUAGCUUGACACUGAACAUUGAGCCUUGAUGUGUAGGAUAGGUGGGAGGCUUUGAAGUGUGGACGCCAGUCUGCAUGGAGCCGACCUUGAAAUACCACCCUUUAAUGUUUGAUGUUCUAACGUUGACCCGUAAUCCGGGUUGCGGACAGUGUCUGGUGGGUAGUUUGACUGGGGCGGUCUCCUCCUAAAGAGUAACGGAGGAGCACGAAGGUUGGCUAAUCCUGGUCGGACAUCAGGAGGUUAGUGCAAUGGCAUAAGCCAGCUUGACUGCGAGCGUGACGGCGCGAGCAGGUGCGAAAGCAGGUCAUAGUGAUCCGGUGGUUCUGAAUGGAAGGGCCAUCGCUCAACGGAUAAAAGGUACUCCGGGGAUAACAGGCUGAUACCGCCCAAGAGUUCAUAUCGACGGCGGUGUUUGGCACCUCGAUGUCGGCUCAUCACAUCCUGGGGCUGAAGUAGGUCCCAAGGGUAUGGCUGUUCGCCAUUUAAAGUGGUACGCGAGCUGGGUUUAGAACGUCGUGAGACAGUUCGGUCCCUAUCUGCCGUGGGCGCUGGAGAACUGAGGGGGGCUGCUCCUAGUACGAGAGGACCGGAGUGGACGCAUCACUGGUGUUCGGGUUGUCAUGCCAAUGGCACUGCCCGGUAGCUAAAUGCGGAAGAGAUAAGUGCUGAAAGCAUCUAAGCACGAAACUUGCCCCGAGAUGAGUUCUCCCUGACUCCUUGAGAGUCCUGAAGGAACGUUGAAGACGACGACGUUGAUAGGCCGGGUGUGUAAGCGCAGCGAUGCGUUGAGCUAACCGGUACUAAUGAACCGUGAGGCUUAACCUUACAACGCCGAAG
rnacentral:rRNA from 1 species